rnacentral:rRNA from 1 species
GAUGAACGCUGGCGGCGUGCCUAAUACAUGCAAGUCGAGCGAACGGACGAGAAGCUUGCUUCUCUGAUGUUAGCGGCGGACGGGUGAGUAACACGUGGAUAACCUACCUAUAAGACUGGGAUAACUUCGGGAAACCGGAGCUAAUACCGGAUAAUAUUUUGAACCGCAUGGUUCAAAAGUGAAAGACGGUCUUGCUGUCACUUAUAGAUGGAUCCGCGCUGCAUUAGCUAGUUGGUAAGGUAACGGCUUACCAAGGCAACGAUGCAUAGCCGACCUGAGAGGGUGUUCGGCGACACUGGAACUGAGACACGGUCCAGACUCCUACGGGAGGCAGCAGUAGGUAAUCUUCCGCAAUGGGCGAAAUCCUGACGGAGCAACGCCGCGUGAGUGAUGAAGGGCUUCGGAUCGUAAAACUCUGUUAUUAGGGAAGAACAUAUGUGUAAGUGACUGUGCACAUCUUGACGGUACCUAAUCAGAAAGCCACGGCUAACUACGUG